CAAUAGCGUAUAUUAAAGUUGUUGCAGUUAAAAAGCUCGUAGUUGGAUUUCUGUUCUUGGGAUCUGGUCCGCCUCACGGUGAGCACUGGAUAACUGGGGACAUCCUCUCGAAGGCGGCAGGUGCACUUGAUUGUGUGUUUGUUGAAUUCGGGACCUUUACUUUGAAAAAAUUAGAGUGUUCAAAGCAGGCGUCGGCUUGAAUACAUUAGCAUGGAAUAAUGGAAUAGGACUUUGGUUCUAUUUUGUUGGUUUCUAGGACCGAAGUAAUGAUUAAUAGGGACAGUUGGGGGCAUUAGUAUUUAAUUGUCAGAGGUGAAAUUCUUGGAUUUAUGAAAGACUAACUACUGCGAAAGCAUUUGCCAAGGAUGUUUUCAUUAAC
rnacentral:rRNA from 1 species